UCCGGUUUGUCACCGGCAGUCAACCUAGAGUGCCCGCCUUUACGCGCUGGCAACUAAGUUCAAGGGUUGCGCUCGUUGCGGGACUUAACCCAACAUCUCACGACACGAGCUGACGACAACCAUGCACCACCUGUCUCCUCUGUCCCGAAGGCCCAUGCUAUCUCUAACAUGUUCAGAGGGAUGUCAAGACCUGGUAAGGUUCUUCGCGUUGCUUCGAAUUAAACCACAUACUCCACUGCUUGUGCGGGUCCCCGUCAAUUCCUUUGAGUUUCAGUCAUGCGACCGUACUCCCCAGGCGGAGUGCUUAAUGUGUUAACUUCGGCACCGAGGGGAUGAUCCCCCCAACACCUAGCACUCAUCGUUUACAGCGUGGACUAC
rnacentral:misc_RNA from 1 species